rnacentral:rRNA from 1 species
GAGCGUAGGCCGGAGAUUAAGCGUGUUGUGAAAUGUAGACGCUCAACGUCUGCGCUGCAGCGCGAACUGGUUUCCUUGAGUACGCACAAAGUGGGCGGAAUUCGUGGUGUAGCGGUGAAAUGCUUAGAUAUCACGAAGAACUCCGAUUGCGAAGGCAGCUCACUGGAGCGCAACUGACGCUGAAGCUCGAAAGUGCGGGUAUCGAACAGGAUUAGAUACCCUGGUAGUCCGCACGGUAAACGAUGGAUGCCCGCUGUUGGUCUGAAUAGGUCAGCGGCCAAGCGAAAGCAUUAAGCAUCCCACCUGGGGAGUACGCCGGCAACGGUGAAACUCAAAGGAAUUGACGGGGGCCCGCACAAGCGGAGGAACAUGUGGUUUAAUUCGAUGAUACGCGAGGAACCUUACCCGGGCUUGAAUUGCAGAGGAAGGAUUUGGAGACAAUGACGCCCUUCGGGGCCUCUGUGAAGGUGCUGCAUGGUUGUCGUCAGCUCGUGCCGUGAGGUGUCGGCUUAAGUGCCAUAACGAGCGCAACCCCUCUCCUUAGUUGCCAUCAGGUCAUGCUGGGCACUCUGGGGACACUGCCACCGUAAGGUGUGAGGAAGGUGGGGAUGACGUCAAAUCAGCACGGCCCUUACGUCCGGGGCUACACACGUGUUACAAUGGCAGGUACAGAGAGACGGUCCCUUGCAAAAGGGAUCAAAUCCUCAAAGCCUGUCUCAGUUCGGACUGGGGUCUGCAACCCGACCCCACGAAGCUGGAUUC